CCGCCAUGAUUGUGAGGCUUCCCCAGCCAUGUGGAAACAUAUUCGCAGAGCACCCACUAGGUGCCAGUAAAUGUAUGAGAAGUCCUGUGGAAUAAGACUGAAGUUGUCCUUGCCUUCAAGCAACUUGCAAUUGCCUAAGAACACAGUUUAAAACCACAAAACUAAGCCUUGGAAAUCACAUGCUGUCAUUUCUGCGAUCGGUCAUAACCAGUCCUGAUUCCAUGUUAGAGGAGACUACAUAAGGACACAGGUACCAGAAGGAGACUAACCAGCAUGGGCUACAUCAAAAAGGCUGCCAUCUACUUUCUGCUGGGUAGGGGCACCAGAGAGACUUGUCAGAAACUAGAAGGAAGGUAGAGUGCGAAAUCUGAGUGUUAAUUCCCUGGCUUCAUCAAAGGACACUGGUCUUCACAAGGAAACAGACUACAUGAUUCUCCUUUUGGGCUUCAGUAAAAACCCCCUCCUUUCAUCCCUUAGUCUAGGGAUGGUAAGAGGUCAGCAGCUAAGAAUUCUAGGUUCUUUGUGGUUUUCCCGUAUACAUGUCUUUGAUGAUAGCCCCUUUGGAAAUAAAUUCUCCUAGACUUUU
rnacentral:lncRNA from 1 species